UUUGUCUUCCUUAUAAACCUCAACAGUCCCGCCCACAGCUGGUUCCGGAAGUUAAAAUACAAAACAAUUUCUCCAUUGCCAAUUGGACUAUAAGUCAUAAAAUCGUAACCGUUGAUAGUAGACUUAAAACCAGCUACGACAUG